rnacentral:rRNA from 1 species
CUACGGGGGGCUGCAGUGGGGAAUAUUGCAUAAUGGGCGCAAGCCUGAUGCAGCCAUGCCGCGUGUAUGAAGAAGGCCUUCGGGUUGUAAAGUACUUUCAGCGGGGAGGAAGGGAGUAAAGUUAAUACCUUUGCUCAUUGACGUUACCCGCAGAAGAAGCACCGGCUAACUCCGUGCCAGCAGCCGCGGUAAUACGGAGGGUGCAAGCGUGUAAUCGGAAUUACUGGGCGUAAAGCGCACGAAGGCGGUUUGUUAUGUCAGAUGUGAAAUCCCCGGGCUCAACCUGGGAACUGCCUCUGAUAGUGGCAAGCUUGAGUCUCGUAGAGGGGGGUAGGAUGCCAGGUGUAGCGGUGAAAUGCGUAGAGAUCUGGAGGAAUACCGGUGGCGAAGGCGGCCCCCUGGACGAAGACUGACGCUCAGGUGCGAAAGCGUGGGGAGCAAACAGGAUUAGAUACCCGCGUAGUC